rnacentral:rRNA from 1 species
CCUACGGGAGGCUGCAGUGGGGAAUAUUGCACAAUGGCGGAAACUCUGAAGCAGCGACGCAGCGUGAGCGAUGAAGUACUUCGGUAUGUAAAGCUCUAUCAGCAGGGAAGAAAAUGACGGUACCUGACUAAGAAGCCCCGUCGAACUACAUGCCAGCAGCCGCGGUAAUACGUAGGAGGCAAGCGUUAUCCGGAUUUACUGGGUGUAAAGGGAGCGUAGACGGUCCUGCAAGCCAGAUGUGAAAGCCCGGGGCUCAACCCCGGGACUGCAUUUGAAACUGUAAGGCUAGAGUGUAGGAGAGGCAGGCGGAAUUCGUAGUGUAGCGGUGAAAUGCGUAGAUAUUACGAAGAACACCAGUGGCGAAGGCAGCCUGCUGGACGAUGACUGACGUUGAGGCUCGAAAGCGUGGGGAGCAAACAGGAUUAGAUACCCCUGUAGUC